CUUGGAUUUCCCUUGUCAGCCAACUGUAAAGUUGAUGAGCAGGCUGACGAUACUUGUGCAACUUCCAGUAUCGCAUUACCUUCAAUUUGUCAGCCAGAAUACCUGCUUCGGUGUAAUAGCACUGUAAUCUAUACUUGUGAAGUUUCGUGAAAAAUGCACUGACUCACAUGUCAAAGGGAAAGUGAAUAUGUUAAUGAUUUUCAAAUAGCCAAACAGAAGACUGAUUUUU